rnacentral:tRNA from 1 species
GCCGACGUGGCGGAACUGGCAGACGCGACAGACUUAGGAUCUGUUGCCCUUCGGGGUGUGGAGGUUCAAAUCCUCUCGUCGGCA